CAUCAUUGCAGGCUGCGACUUGAAGACACUAAAUUAACUCAGCUAUUUUUGUUUUUUUGUUUGGUUUUUUCGUUUUGUUAUUUAUUUUUAGUGAUUUUCGUCAUAGUAGUCAUAGCGUAGUAAGGAUUCACUAUGGAGGUCCCUUACAAGUUAGAAGUGAUUGCUUUGACUACAAUCAUCAUUAAACUGGGUGUCUCAGUUUUCCCAUAUUCUGGCAAAAAUCAACCUCCAAAAUUUGGAGAUUAUGAAGCUCAAAGACAUUGGAUGGAAAUUACGGUUAACUUACCCAUACAGGAUUGGUAUAGAAAUACAACAGACAAUGAUUUAUUGUACUGGGGACUGGAUUACCCUCCUCUCACAGCAUAUCAAAGCUACCUAACUGGAUCGGUGGCUAAGAAAAUCAACCAAGACUAUGUAAAACUCCAUGUGUCUCAGGGAUUUGAAAACUUUGACCACCAAUAUUUCAUGAGGAUGUCCGUCCUUGUGUCUGAUUGUAUUUUCUUUGUCAGUGCACUUUAUUUUUACAUUAGAAGCUUGAAGAUGAGUAAUAAGUACAAAUGGGUUUUCUUUGCUUUGUCCUCACACUCUGGACUCACCCUUAUAGAUUAUGGUCAUUUUCAGUACAAUUGUGUUUCGUUGGGGUUGACCUUGUGGGCAAUCAUUUUUGUUUCUCAGGGAAAGAAUGUGUUAGCAGCAAUUGCCUUUUCAGCUGCCUUAAACUUUAAGCAGAUGGAGUUGUAUCAUGCAAUACUUCUAUUUGCUGGCUUCUAUUUGCUGGCUUCCUGUCAACCUAAAGGUUCCUCACUUCCCUCCCAACUAAAGAAUUUGGUCCAGAUUGGCGCUGCCACAGUGGCGACCUUUGCAAUCAUUUGGUAUCCAUUUCUUCAAAUUCAUGAUUGGCUUUUACAGCAAGUCAUCGUCAGACUCUUUAUUCCUUUUCAGCGUGGAAUCUUUGAAGACUAUGUCGCCAAUUUUUGGUGCACGCUAAAUGUUGUGAUCAAAAUCAAACGACUAUUAAACCCAACCUCAAUCGCCUCGGGAACUAUCACCUAGGCCAUGCCCGUGCCUGAAAGAAAAAGUCAGGACGUUGAUUCGAACGGAUUCGAAUGCAACGAGCACUAAGUACGGUCACAUUAUUGGAGGAAUGACCGUGUGCUUGGUUCGUGAUUUGGAGUCACAAGUGAUAGCUGCAAGCUGAUAUCACUCGAACCACUGCACCAACCCGACUAAGCAUGAUCGAAAAAAGCUGCAGCUCAUUAUGGCGUCAGUUUAGCUUUAAUGCUAAAUUUCGCAAACACGGUGAACUAGAUUGACAAUAAUAAAAAAUGAACUUUAUUCGUCACUUGCUGUGUUACUUAUUAUUAAGAAUCUCAAUUAUGCUAAACAAAUUUUGACACGCAAAAAAUGCUACAAUAGAAACGGAAACGGUUGCACUCACGGAUCGUGACUGGAACAUGUAUACCAAUCCCGCCAUAAGACCUAGAAGUUACUCUUCGGUUGCCACCAGGUGGCAUAUGAGUAGCAUAUUUCUAUGAAUAUGAAAUCUUUUGAUGGCUGUCGUUCGGCCCGUUACAUUGGCGAUUGUAUGGAAGUGAAAAUGACUAGCUGGUUGGUUACUACAGUCAGUAUGUCGUAUUGUGCACGUCAUAUUCGCCUUGUUUUCUGUAGAUGACAGAAAACGGCAGAAACGACAAGAAGACUCAUGCCUGAACAGAUUCGUUCUGUUCUGUUAUAAUCUAGUAAAUGCUUUUGUAUUGUACAAAUGCAAUUUUAGUUUCGAUCGAACUGAUCACACCGGAAUCUUUUCAGCCUUGUUAGAUUGUGGGGUAAAUGAUGUCGCUGUGCGCACUGCAAAAAUGUUUUUCUUUUUCUCGUAGAAGCCGACUUUGAAUAAAAUGUAAAACAAAACAAAAACUCAAGCAAUCAUUUUAGUUUAUAUUGUUAUGAAUUGGAUUCUGGGAAACUAAUUCGAAGGCAACGUUAUAUCCACUUCAAGAGAAACAGACGAAUGAUUGUCGUCGGAGAGAAAAGGAGGGAAGAAGCGGGAAGAAGAGC
rnacentral:misc_RNA from 1 species